GAUGAACGCUGGCGGCGUGCCUAAUACAUGCAAGUCGAGCGAAUGGAUUGAGAGCUUGCUCUUAUGAAGUUAGCGGCGGACGGGUGAGUAACACGUGGGUAACCUGCCCAUAAGACUGGGAUAACUCCGGGAAACCGGGGCUAAUACCGGAUAACAUUUUGAACCGCAUGGUUCGAAAUUGAAAGGCGGCUUCGGCUGUCACUUAUGGAUGGACCCGCGUCGCAUUAGCUAGUUGGUGAGGUAACGGCUCACCAAGGCAACGAUGCGUAGCCGACCUGCGAGGGUGAGCGGCCACACUGGGACUGAGCCACGGCCCAGACUCCUACGUGAGGUAGCAGUAGGGAAUCUUCCGCAAUGGACGAAAGUCUGACGGAGCAACGCCGCGUGAGUGAUGAAGGCUUUCGGGUCGUAAAACGCUGUUGUUAGGGAAGAACAAGUGCUAGUUGAAUAAGCUGGCACCUUGACGGUACCUAACCAGAAAGCCACGGCUAACUACGUGCCAGCAGCCGCAGUAA
rnacentral:rRNA from 1 species